AUCUUACUGUAUCGGGUUAGAAACUUGAAAAGAUAGAUAUGGACUGGGGUGGUUACGAUGUAUUUGCCAGCAGAGAAAGCACAAAUAGCAACACAUCAUUGAAGAUUUUUGCUCCAAAUCUUAAAACUUUGAAAUGGAAAGGGGAGUUGAGGAAUAGCCAAAGUCUGGGACGUUUAGAGAGUUUGGAAGCAGUUGAGAUUUUAUUAGAGCCUCCGAAAAAUGAGUUUGACAAAGUCUAGGAGGUUCUUCGCAGUAUAUGCUUGGCAAAAGUUCUUAUUAUAAACGGGAAGCCCAUUAAGGCAAGUCACUUUGGUAAUGAAUACUGGAAACUGCAAAAGCUUGCUUUCAUUCACCAGCUCAAGGAGGUAAGCAUAGAGAAUUCCUAUGGGUCUAAUGAAAUCGAGUUUCAAAGGUAUAUUCUCGAGCGUGCUCAAAAUUUGAAAAAAAUGGUCAUUGUUCAUCGUGAUGAAAAUGCUCCAUCAAAAGUUGCUGGGAUGAUGCGUAGGAGCAGGAUGAUUUCCAAUGCUUCAGUUCACAUUCGGCAGGACCUAGACUACAUCUACACUCUCUCUGGUCCGGGGAUCCCACAUAGCUAUUUUGAUGUCUCACAUAGAGAUUCACAUAGCUUUUGAAAUCGACAUGUAUAUUGACAGGAUAUUUCUCUAGUAAUAUUUGCUUGAUAUUUCUCUCAUGCAGCAUUUGAAUCUGGUGAUGUUCUUAAUCGAUCAUGCCACCAACGAUUAACAGAUUAGAUCACCAAGAUGUAUGCAGCUACUUUGAAGAACAAUCUUGGGUUCUCGCGCACAUAAAUGUCUCGGGAAACCAAGAUCAAAGAAUUUACAUGAUUUCGAUCAAAAAUGCAAUUUCGU